UACGUAGGGUGCAAGCGUUAAUCGGAAUUACUGGGCGUAAAGCGUGCGCAGGCGGUUUUGUAAGUCUGUCGUGAAAGCCCCGGGCUCAACCUGGGAAUUGCGAUGGAGACUGCAAGGCUUGAAUCUGGCAGAGGGGGGGUAGAAUUCCACGUGUAGCAGUGAAAUGCGUAGAGAUGUGGAGGAACACCGAUGGCGAAGGCAGCCCCCUGGGUCAAGAUUGACGCUCAUGCACGAAGCGUGGGGAGCAAACAGG
rnacentral:rRNA from 1 species